UUAAUAGAAGCCAAAAAGAGGCAUACCACUGUUAAUGGUAAAAUUGAACUAGUUUCCUAUUAAG
rnacentral:tRNA from 1 species